rnacentral:rRNA from 1 species
AGCAGCCGCGGUAAUUCCAGCUCCAAUAGCGUAUAUUAAAGUUGUUGCAGUUAAAAAGCUCGUAGUUGAAUUUCGGGACUAAUAUGUCGGUCGUACUUUGUACGUACUAGCAUUAUUGGUUUCUCCCUUCUGACGAACCACGAUGUCAUUAAUUUGGUGUCAUGGGAAAUCAGGACUGUUACUUUGAAAAAAUUAGAGUGUUUAAAGCAAGCUCGCGCUUGAAUACAUUAGCAUGGAAUAAUGAAAUAGGACGUUUGAUUCUAUUUUGUUGGUUUCUAGGAUCGACGUAAUGAUUAAUAGGGAUAGUUGGGGGCAUUAGUAUUCAAUUGUCAGAGGUGAAAUUCUUGGAUUUAUUGAAGACUAACUACUGCGAAAGCAUUUGCCAAGGAUGUUUUCAUUAAUCAAGAACGAAAGUUAGGGGAUCGAAGACGAUCAGAUACCGUCGUAGUCUUAACCAUAAACUAUGCCGACUA